UUCUUUUGGGUUUUCAUGGGAGUUCUAUUCACGCUUUGUGGUAUCUGAAUUGUGCCUUCUUGAACCAUGUUGUCUGCAAUGAAUGACAUACCGCUUAGAGAGAGAGAGAGAGUUCCACAAUGACACAUUCAUCGCAGUAGAGAGAGAAAGAGAGGAGGAGAGGUGCUCGCCCUUAACUGAGCAUAUGCAGUUGCGUGUGUAGGGCUGCAACGGGCCGUGUUUGACCCGAACCGAAAAGUCCAAACAUUUCAGCCAGGCUGAUGGCGGCCCGUGCUGGAAUCUCUGUCUUUCUCUUGGGCUGGGCCAAGCCCAGAAUAUGCUUCAGGCCCGGCUGCUAACCGGCCCAAAAUUAAAUUAUGGGUGGACUUUAGGCCCAAACACCAGCCCGGCUUAACUUUUUUUUAAAAAAAGGAAAAAAUUACUUUAAGAUCUCUCUUCCCAAAGUUUUUUUUAGUCCAUCUUAAAAAAAAUAAAAAAAAAAUUUCUAUAAAAAAAACUAUACUAAAACAUUUCUUUCAAUCAAAAUUUAAUAAAUAAAAAUAGAGAUGGUAUACAAUAACAUCAUUGAUCUUGAUACAAGGAGGUCACAAUUACUUAUAACCGGAUGUUAAAUUUGAUAGCUUGGGUGUGUCAUAAAGUUUGAUAAAUUCUUUUUUGAAUAUUGAGCUUGGUCAAUAGAAUAAAUGCAACCAUCCAAUGGUCAAAAUUAAUUACGAUUUUCUUCAACUGAAGGUAAAUGAUCUCUUUGUAUAUUUUUUUUUUCCAUUAAAAAUAAAAAGGUGCGGUUUGUAUAGAGCUUAGGCUCUAAACAUUCAAAUUAGAGCUUACCUUCAAAUAGUAUUGAGAAAUGUAGUUUCAAUACUGGAAAUCUUAUUGAUAGCCUUAAAAUCUAUUUUUAUUUUUUAUUUAUAAAGUUUAAAGCUUCAAAAUAGUGUAGAUCGAUAGAUCUAUGAAAACUUGAAAAUCUUGAAAAUUGACGGUCAUAAAAUAUGUUACAAAAUAUACUAUUCCAUCUUGAUGUCGAGAUGAUCAAUUUGAGGAUAUUCGGGCAUCAAAACAAUCUUCUUAUGAAAUUUUUGAGGUAAGUUCAAAUUUGAUUGUUUUGCGCUUCGGCUCUAUGCAAACUUUUCUCAAAAAACAAAAAAAAAGAAAAAAAAAAAAGAAGAAUUUGGAAAAGUGAGGCACGUGGCCAUCCAACCCCACAUGACUCAAUAUCAGACUGGCCCGUAAUUGUCCUGGCCUGAACCCAGCCCGGAAGCCCGAAGGCGGCUCAUAAGUAGCCCGAACCAGACCCCUCCAUGAAAGCCCAACGCCCUCCCCAGACCGUUGGCACCCGAAGCUGUGUGUGAGAGAGAGUACACGAAGUAGUUUCAUUGGAAAGCGGAAUCGACAUGGAGCUUGAGCCUGGUUCCCCUUCCAUGCUGGUGCACAAGGCCGCAUAAAAUGAAGAGAGAGAAUCUUGAAUCACUGCAAAGCCUUCCCGCCUUCUCAGUUGUGCAUAUUGCAGUAGAAAUUGCUGCAAUUCCUCCAUAUCUGUGAACCUAAAUCAUCAUUCAAUUUCUAUGUAAAACUAUCCAAAAUGCCAUUUGAAAAUAAUCGAAUUUGAAUUCAACAUAGUGCAACCUCAAUUAAUCCAUACUAUUAAAAACAUAAUCGAUACAAAAUCACAUGACUAGACCAGACCACACUUAGAGAAUAAAUAUCAAGCAUAUCGUCGCGGCUCAAAUCUCACUGGAAAAUUCUAAAAUCAAUUUCUGGACCCUAACAACUACGUCUCUAAAGAAAAUUUGAAUUCGCGGCUUUAAAAACUGUGCAUCUCUUGUAACGCAUUAUUUUCAAUUAUUAACAUAUUCGCCAAAUCUACCACUAUUUUUUGAGUUUCAAAUUUUUGUAAUCAGGGGCAAAAAUAGAUACUCAGGUUAUUAUAGGGACUUCCAGUGCUAGCAUGAAUUUACUUUUUAAGCAUUGUGCACACCGGGGACAUAUAUAAUUAGCACCAUAUCGAGCCGGGUUGUGGUCGUGGCACCCCUAUACCUAAUUGUCACGUUGUAGUUUUCAAUCAUACUGACGUCACCUACGGACACUUUCAAAAAAGCUAACUUCCUAAUCUAUCUAGAAAAACGAGUAGGGGUUUUCUUCCCCACUAUUACCCAAAAAAAAAUAAUAAUCUAAUUUCAAUAUAACUUUUUUUACUAUUACUUGCAGGCCAUUACUAUUAACCCCAAAAAAUUUCAGAUUUGAGGGGAUAUGUUGCAUGUGUUACGUGUGCAUGUUAAGAGAGUGUGUGUGUUUUGAGGGAUUGUGUUGCAUGAGUUAUGAGAGAGAGACUCAUGAUUAGCACUGAAAACCUUCAUCUUUUUAUGGAACGUCAUGGAUUAAGACAUGUUUUGUGCUUGCCAAACAACCUGUUAAAUCCUUACACAAAUAGUCGUUGCUCCUGUGAAGAAGGGAUCCCACCAUUACCAUACUGCACUUGCAUUACUGCACGAGUCACCACACACGGUCAGGAUGCGUUCCCUGCAAAUCGAACUGCCAAAAUUGAUACAUAACGAGAGUUCAAGACACUGAGGGAAGAGAGACGAUG
rnacentral:lncRNA from 1 species